GACGAACGCUGGCGGCGUGCCUAAUACAUGCAAGUCGAGCGAAUCUUGAGGUGCUUGCACCUCUUGGUUAGCGGCGGACGGGUGAGUAACACGUGGGCAACCUGCCUGUAAGACUGGGAUAACUUCGGGAAACCGGAGCUAAUACCGGAUAAUCCUUUUCCUUUCAUGAGGAAAAGCUGAAAGUCGGUUUUUCGCUGACACUUACAGAUGGGCCCGCGGCGCAUUAGCUAGUUGGGGAGGUAACGGCUCACCAAGGCGACGAUGCGUAGCCGACCUGCGAGGGUGAUCGGCCACACUGGGACUGAGACACGGCCCAGACUCCUACGGGGGGCAGCAGUAGGGAAUCUUCCGCAAUGGACGAAAGUCUGACGGAGCAACGCCGCGUGAGCGAUGAAGGCCUUCGGGUCGUAAAGCUCUGUUGUUAGGGAAGAACAAGUAUCGGAGUAACUGCCGGUACCUUGACGGUACCUAACCAGAAAGCCACGGCUAACUACGUGCCAGCAGCCGCGGUAA
rnacentral:rRNA from 1 species